CAUUUUCGCCUCAGAUCAAAAGUUGCGUUCCAGCAGCGGUACGAAUAGCAGGUUUUGCAGGAUUUUACAGGAUUUACAGGAACAGCUGUUUUCGCCAUUAAUAAGCCUUAUGUAAGGUGUCGUGCAGGAACAGCUUCCUGUAAAAUCCUGUAAAUUCCUGCUAUUCGUACUG